UACAGAGGUCUCAAGCGUUGUUCGGAUUCAUUGGGCGUAAAGAGCUCGUAGGCGGCCUGUUGCGUCCGCUGUGAAAGCCCGGGGCUUAACCCCGGGUCGGCAGUGGAUACGGGCAGGCUAGAGGUAGGUAGGGGAGAAUGGAAUUCCCGGUGUAGCGGUGAAAUGCGCAGAUAUCAGGAGGAACACCGGUGGCGAAGGCGGUUCUCUGGGCAUUACCUGACGCUGAGGAGCGAAAGUGUGGGGAGCGAACAGG
rnacentral:rRNA from 1 species